CAUAUAUUUGUAUUUUCCUGGCUCUCAGCAAAAGAAUUGCAGGUGUAGGUAAUUAGAAAGUUGCCGUGGAGUGAAUCAUCAUGUUUCAGCUUCCGUCUUUUGACUGAGAAUGUGUGUUUUGUCAAGUGGUAAGAAUUCUACGAACUUUAAUAACCACUUCUUUUGAAAAAAGCAGGGUAAAUUUUGUGUUUAAUUACAGUAAUUAAUCCUAAUUUGCUACACAUCUAUGCAUGC
rnacentral:lncRNA from 1 species